CGCUACCGAAGUGUCGGUCAAAUUGGGGUUUGAUGCUAUUCGCCGCACGCUCGUGUGUUCUGUCGUAAUGCUCGUGAUAGUACAUUGCGCAUAUUCAGGACUACAAACUGCCCUGUAUGACAUUACAGGUCCUCAACCUGCGCAACCUACAACUGUCUUCGUUUGCACCAGGAGAGGAGAGCCCAUCCCCAUAGCAUUUCCCUGCUGGCGCUGAGCGGGUCUUCCUGGUUGACAUCCUCUCAACCAGCAUAGCCUCGCCUUUGCAAAGGGGCGGCGACACCUGUACUAUGGACUGCAAAACCAGGAAACACUGACAAGGAGGUGCACCGCCAGCAAUUCAGGGACCACUGAAAUAGCCAUCAUUGCUGCGAGCUUCGCUAGCGGCACCAACUUGGCAGCACUGCAUCUGGUGCACGCAAUGGACGAUCCCGCAGGUCCUUCGUGUAUUUCAUCCAGCCCUUGCUCCACCAAAGACGACUUCCGCGGUUUGACCGUCCCUCAGCCGACAGUUUCUCCUCCCUGCUGGUGCCCACUGCUUUCUCGUAAUGGACCUUUGCUCGGCGAUCUGCAGUCACUUGCCUUGCCAACUUUCGCACCUGGCACACGCAAGGGACAAUCCUGCCAGUCCUUGUACGUCAUCCACUCCUUGCUUCAGAGAAGAUGACGACCCCACUAGACCGUCCCUCAGCAGACGGUGUUUCUUCUUCAUGCUAUCACCCACCGCGCUCUACUGGUGGGCCUUUGCUGCGUGAUCUGCAAUAACUCGCCUUUUCGACCUUCGAUCUCAUCCGGUCGGUGCUAUGUCCAAACCCGCAUUGCCUUCCGCGUCCGGCCUGUGCCUCUUGGGUGGCCAAGACAGUCCUCCAGAUACCCCUGUCCUGCGGCCAUGGCGUACCUUCGUUCACAACAAUCCACCUUCCGGUUCCUGCUUCUUCCUUGCCUUCUGGGGAAUGCAUCGUGCAAGAAAGCCCAUCGCUGUGGCCCGCCCUUCUGUCUUCACUCCGCGGGAGGACUCUCUUCGGCGUUGCUGCUCGUCGUCACUCCGCUGUGACCACUAGCGGAUGACCAGUGGGCGACGGACUGCAUCUCCCUUUGCCCCCGCGAGACAUGCCAGCGACCUCUGGAAUCACCCUGGGCUACCAGCUAUCCGUGAGAAGCUGUGCAACACCUUCACGUCGAUGAUCUAAAACCUACUAUCGUACAGAGCUGUUCGAAGGAUACUCGCAAGGCUUACAGAAUCUAUCGCACCUCAGAAUGGUGCUCUGUUCAGCGGACAUACAGUGAAUCUAGUGUUUUUAUCGACUAUUUUAAAUAUAUUGGGCCCAAGUGGUUGAUUAAAUUACGCAAGUGUAACGUUUGGUGCAACGU